AAAUCCAAUCUAUGCUUCUCCUCGAUCCUUCCAAAUCUGGUGUUGUAGCCAUGUGUUUCGUUUCUUGAUCCUGUUGACGAGCAUUUUUUAAAGUACAUGACUACGUCAAAAAUAUAUUGCCCAUAGAUUGUUAAGAUUCCAAACUGUGGAAAAACGAGUUUUACUGAGUCUAAUCUUUUUAACUUCAUUAUUAUUCUGAGAGCUCUUUUUUGUUGUAAUAGUAUCUUAUCAAGAGUGGUACAGGGAUUUCAUUGUCUGUAUACUGCAGAUAUCUGUCAAUUGCCGCAAAGCAAAAAGGCCGGGGGAUAUCUUUUUUACAACCUGA